AACUCCACUGACUGCUUAAACGUAUCCUAGCUGUCAUCACUGUAGAAGUUACCCUCUAGACACUGGUUAUGAAGUCUGCAGUGAGUUUCUUAUUUUUAGUUCUUUUCUGGCAAGGUGCUUUACGGAUGGGAUAUCACCACAGUCCAGGCGUUGAAGCCAGCAAUUGCGAGGUUGAAGAAGGACAAUUGGUUAAAAAGCUAGUAGAACUCCACAAUGCAUCAGUGAGGCUCGCAUUGUCGAAGAGUAAGGCUCACAAGCCAGUUCAUUUUGCCGAGGUGUGCCCUGGAUAU